AGAGAGAUGAUAAACGAAAUGAAGGUAAAGGAGAGCCUAGAAAAGAAGCAACAAUCAUAAGCUAUGAAUGCAAGAAGCUGGGAUAUAUAAAAGGCGAAUGUCCUUUAUUCAAGAAGAAAGAGAAGGAAAAAUGAAAAAGGGCAAUGGCGGUUAUGACAUGGAGUGACGAUGAAGAAUCCGACUCCGAAGAUGAAGCCAAAACUAAGAAAGUUGCAAAUCUUUGUCUCAUGGCUCAUGAGGAUGAAGAUGAGGUAUCAAACUCAAACUCAUCUCAAAUUAAUUUCAAUGAAUUAAAAGAUGCAUUUGACGAAUUAAUGGCCGAAUUUAAGAAAGUAAGAAUUAAAAAUAGUCUACUUAAAAAGAUGAUUACCACUCUUUCAAAAGAAAAAUAAGGAUUUACAAAAGAAAAAUGAUGACUUGAAAAAUCAAGUUGAUAUUUUGAAAGAGAAGGUUAAAGAAAGUGUCUCUUCAAAGGAAUCCUUAAAGGAAAAACAAAUUAUGAGUGAUAAGGUCAAAUAUUUGGAAACAACACUCUAUAAGUAUGUAAAUGGAAAAAUAUUAGAUGCAAUUCUUAGAAAAUAAAAAUGCUCACUUGAUAAAACCAGACUUGGUUUUAAUCCUUUCUAGAGAAAAACAUUUUCAAAAAUCAAAUCUAGCUCUUUAAGUGAAAAGACACUAAUUUCAUGUUUUUAUUGUCAUAACAUAGGACACAUUGCUAGUAGGUGUUAUUCUAUGCAAAAAUCCAAAGUUCCUAGCAAUGCAUGGGGCCCAAGAAGGCCAUUAAGGACUAACCCCCAAGGACCCAAGAUGAUUUGGGUAUGUAAAAUUAAAUGAAUCAUUUUGUAGGUAUGCUUUCAACCAAAAUUAAUCAAAAAUCAUUGGUAUUUAGAUAGCGGGUGCUCAAGGCACAUGACAGAGGAUGAGACUCAAUUCACAUCUCUCAAGCCAAAUGAUGGAGGAUUUGUCACCUUUAGAGACAACGGCAAAAGGGACGAUCAUCAGAAUAUGUAGUAUUGGUAAGAAUUCAUCUACCUUUAUUGAAAAUGUAUUACUUGUUAAAGGAUUCAAACACAAUCUCUUGAGCAUUAGUCAACUUUGUGACAAAGGAUGCAAGGUUGUAUUUGAAUCUUUCAAAUGUGAAGUAAUAGACAUUAACAAUAACAAAACAAUUUUCAUUAGACAUAGACAAGACAACAUUUACAUGUUUGAUUUAAAUGAUUUAUUUUUUGGUUCCAAAAAAGAGACUUUAAUCAACAGCCUGCCCACCCUGGAAAUGGCUCAGUUGGAGGUAGGGUUCAGCAGUUGGAAGAGAACUGCACGUCGUGUGGUGUCUGGUGCGCCCCCGACAACCCUUGAAAAUCUAAAAGACCGAGUGCCUUCCGCGCCUAGUCAUGCUUAUAACUGCAUCAGGUUUCCAAGGUGAAUAACCUCUGGUCGAUGGAAUAAUGUAGGCAAAGAAAGUCAGUAAAUAGAUCCAUAACUUUGAGAAAAGGAUUGGCCCUGAGGGCUGGGCACGGGGGUCCCAAUCUCAAACCUGUCAACUAUUGGUAGACUGCUCAAGUUGCUCCCACGAUGAGAGCAGGUCAUCGCGUGUCGGCCGAGGGACGGACUGGGAAUGGCUCUUCCUUGGGCCUUCCCCGGUCAUCGAAUAGUCAGACUCAGAACUGGUACAGACAAGGAGAAUCCAACUGUUUAAUUAAAACAAAGCAUUGCGAUGGUCCCUAUGGAUAAUAACGCAAUGUGAUUUCUGCCCAGUGCUCUAAAUGUCAAAGUGAAGAAAUUCAACUAAGCAUGGGUAAAUGGCGAGAGUAACUAUAACUCUCUUGAGGUAGCUAAAUUCCUCAUCAUCUAAUUAGUGACGCAGAUGAAUGGAUUAACGAGAUUCCCUACUAUCCUUGUCUAUUAUCCAACAAAACCACAACCAAUGGAACGGGCUUGGCAGAAUCAGUGGGAAAAGAAGACCCUGUUGAGCUUGACUCUAGUACGACUCUGUGAAAUGACUUGAGAGAUAUAGGAUAAGUAGGAGCCAAAAAUGGAAAAAGUGAAAUACCAUUAUUUUUAAUGUUAUUUUACUUAUUCUGUGAAUCGGAGGCUGGACAUUGCUCCUCUUUUUGGACUGAAGGCCAGCCUCGGUGGGCUAAUUCGGGCAGAAGACAUUGUUAGGUGGGGAGUUGGAUGGGGUAACACAUCUGUUAAAAGAUAAUGCAGGUGUCCUAAGAUGAGCUUAACGAGAACAAAAAUCUCGUGUGGAAUAGAAGGGUAAAAGCUCGUUUGAUUCUGAUUUUUAGUACGAAUAUGAACCGUGGAAACGUGGCCUAACGACCCUUUAGACCUUUGAAAUUUGAAGCUAAAGGUGUCAUAAAAGUUACCACAAGGAUAACUGGCUUAUGGCAACCAAGCGUUCAUAGCGAUAUUGCUUUUUAAUCCUUCGAUGUCAGCUCUUCCUAUCAUUGUGAAGCAGAAUUCACUAAGUGUUAGAUUGUUCACCCAUCAAUAGGGAACGUGAGCUGAGUUUAGACCGUCAUGAGAUAGGUUAGUUUUACCUUACUAAUGAUAGUGUUGCAAUAGUAAUUCAACCUAGUACGAGAGGAACCGUUGAUUCGCACAAUUGGUCAUCAUGCUUGGUUGAAAAGCCAAUGGCGCGAAGCUAUGUGCGUCAGUUUAUGAUUAAAUGCCUCUAAGUCAGAAUCCGAGCUAGAAUCGAUGCAUGUGCCUGCUGCCCAUUUGCCGACCCACAGUAGGGGCCAUUUGGCCCCAAAGGCACGUGUCGUUGGUGAAGCCCGUAUGGUGGAUGAGCCGUGCGGGCAGCCUUGAAGUACAAUUCCUACCGAGGGACGGGUAGAAUAAAUAUUUAUUCGUAUUGAGAUUAAAUAUUUUAGAAUAUUU
rnacentral:rRNA from 1 species